GGUUAGAGCGUAGUGCUAAUAGCUUCUGCUUGAUACGCUAAGGCCGCGAGUUCGACCCUCGUACUGACCA